UAGCCCAGAGCCCCAGACAAUUAAUUAGCUGCGACGGAUUCCUUUGUCAUUUUAACUACUCCCAUGAUUCUUUUCACGGGUUUCAUCAGAUUAACUAGUCCCAUUAGGAUUUGGAGAAAAGAUUCGGUGGUUAGGGAAUCAAUCCCGUGGCGGCCACAGCGAGGCCCCGGAUUAAUCAAUGUUAUCCUCAGGUUUGCAGCUCGCUUAUCUUAAUGGUUUCUUCAGUUCUUCGUCUUUUCUAUUGGUGGCCUUCUGGGGAUUGAUGGCCGCAAGUUUUGCAUGUUGUUUGAUCUUGUUUUCUCUGGGUGGUGUUUUUGGUGCCGAUUCAUGUGUGGUCCUGCAGUUCCUUUUUUUUUAGCAUGUUCAUCAAACAUGUCUUGCUCCAGAUCCGUCGGUGUAUUGAAGUUAAAAACAGCUAGCAAGGUGCCUAAUUUUUUUUUUAAAAAAAGAGAGCUAUGUGCAAUGAUGACAUAAUUGAUUUGGUUUGCUGGGAUAAUGGGGAUACGAUCAAUUGAAUUUCAUCAUAAAAUUUAUGACGUGUUUUGUCCCUAUUUUCAUGGGUUAAAAGUAGGCCACAGAAAUCUUGAGAUGAUGAUGAAAGGUGCAAAACAUUGUUUUAACUUUAGAGGGUUCUUUUUCCUACAAAAGCACCCAGUCCUCUUGUUUAAUUUAUAGCAGGCAGUGCUAUCAUAAUAUUAUUUGCAAUAUGCCAUACUAAAAGCAAACAGCUUUAUUCAACAAAAACAUAAUUAACUUUACUCCAAAGAGCUAGCUAGCCUAACACUUCAAAAGCACACACGGUCCUUUAAAUUUAAACAUAUAUCGCAAAAUGUCAGCGUGCCCUCCGGCUGUGCAGACGUUAAUUCGUAUACAUAUAUAUACAAUUUCUUGGAAAGAUUCUGCAAGUACACACCUUUAUUUGCUAGGUUAAAUUCCAAUUGGCACCAGGUAUGCAUGGGUCAGUGCAGCUAAUUACUUUAAUUAGUCGAUUGAUUCGCUUGCUUAUCGCUGCACCAUUGGUCUAGAGUCUAGACAACAUCAAACAUGUACGGAGAGUUAAAAAGGAAAUCAAUUGCUCCAUCCUCCUUACGGCUCAAGCAAAAGAUUAGCAAGAGGGAAUGGCUGCCACGUUUCGCCGUGCCAUGGGCAAGCGUACUGUCUAGUGCUAUUUAGGCUGCGUUCGGAUGGCACGUAGGUUAGUUACUUCCCUCGUUUUUCACGCACAUAUUUUUCAAACUGCUAAACGGUAUAUAUUUUUUAAAAAAAUAUAUGAAAGUUGUUUUAAAAAAUUAUAUUAAUUUUUUAAUAUUUUCUAAUAAUUAAUAAUUAAUUAAUUAUGUACUAAUAGAAACGUUUUCGAUGUCAUGGCAUAAGUUAACUUACCGCCACACCCGGACGCGGCCUUACUCUACUACCUGCAGACUAAUCACUAAAUAAUCACCCUUUCUUAGCGGGCAUCCUAUCAGGCUUAGGCAUUGAAAUGGUGUUAUUUUAGUGGGUCAUGUCACAUGGUUAGUGGCGUAAUUCAAGGAAAGGUUAAAGAUUUUAGUUUGGAUAAAGUUGGUGAGUUCUUCAUAAGGGUAGUAGUUAAAGAUUAAAAUGUGGGUGCAAAACUAUGUUCCGUACGAGUAAAGAUCAAAUCUUUUUUUUUUUUUGGGGGUUUGGGGGUUGUCAUGGAGCUUUGACUUGCCUUGUUGUUAGUAGGUAGAAGAAGUUAAUGAACUUUUUGUUACAGGCAGAUUAAUGUGUGUGCUACCUUUUUCUCUUUCCAUGUUUCCACCAAAUGCUGCAUUUGCAACUGCAUUACGGCAACUUCCAAGUCUUGAUGAAUAUAUAAAGCCAUACUAAGAUGGUCAUUUGUGCUUAACAGCAAUUUUUGCCAUAGAUUAAUCUUUUGUGUAGUUUUUUUAUACUACCAUUUAUAAGAUGAUCAUUGCAGGUUUUGGGCAGAUCCAAGGAGAUUAGUUGGAGGUUGGGAAGCAGGGGCGUGGCUUGUCCGGGAGGAAGGGUUCUUCCAUUUCUUUAAUCAACUUUUGUAGUUAGUAAGUGUAUUAACAUAAAGCAAGUGGAGAUCAUGGAGCAUGCGAGGGAAUCGAGCACAUGAUCAUCAGAAUUUGGGUUUAUCCUAGCCAUCAUGUUGAUCUCUCUGACUUGGACAACUGUGUCCUUACUUAGCUUUGAUCUCUAAAUUAACUACUUUUCAAUAGUACUACUGCUAUAAUUAAUUGAAACCAGCCUAGAUGUGUGUGUAAAGGAUCAUGAUCAUACAGCCUUAAUACAGCUAGGCUCAGCUAAUGAGGUCUAUUAAGAACUUCUCCCUCCUUAACCCCAGAAGCUAACCAUGCAUGUAGAUCAACCAUAUCCACUGACCAUUGCCUUUCUUCUAUAAAAACCUUUCAUAUGGUUGGCUAGCUUUACUAUUAGCUAGAAUGGCCCAUGACAUACAUGUACACGAGUUUGUACACUGCAUUGCUAUGUAAUUUUUAAAAGCACUUGGGAUCUCAAAUUCACAAUUCCAG
rnacentral:lncRNA from 1 species